GCCCUUACCACUAAUGUUACAUGAAAUGAUUUUAAGUGGUACAUGAACUUGGGAUUUAAUAACAUUGGACCAAUGGAAAAAAAAAAAAGAUCUUUUCAGUCCUCUAUACAUUCUUCUGAUUUUGUCAAGGACGAAGUACCAGUUCGGUGCUUAUGUGUCUUUAACAUCUAUCCAAAACCUACAAAUCUGCCUUUUAAAGAAUGAGAACAGGUGUGAGGCUUGGAACCUCCACAUGCAAUAGAAUCUAGCUAGAACUCUAUUUAUUUUCAGGUUACAUGCAAUAUGGCAAGUGAUACUGCUUUCCUGUUAUGUCGUAUAUAAGUUUCCUUACAUAUAAGGGAGCCAACCUCAAGACACUUAAAGUAUUAUGGAAGAAUCAGCUCACGAGGUUCACAGACAUGGCAAAAAUUGUGAGACUGGCACACAAAGGACAGAUUUUUAGGGCUCAGUGGGUGAUUUAGGACCCACUGUAGAGC
rnacentral:lncRNA from 1 species